UGGAGGUUUCUCCCAUCAUCUCUCUCUCUCUCUCUCUCUCUCUCUCUCUCCGUCUCCUCCAUACCUAAACAAGAUCUACUUUUUUCUCCCCUUCUAAUUUUCGAUCUCUCUCCUCUUAUAGUGUUUUCAAUCUUCUGGGUGACUGUUGCAGUAAGGAUAAGAUCGUCUCCCAUCACUUGUCAGCCAGGGAUGGCCGAUUCGUCGUCGUUUUGGAGAAACCGUGCUAUAUUCAGUUCGAGUACUUGGUGUACUACGAGACCCGCAUCACCGGAAAGCUGAGCUACGGCGCGAUCACGGAUCUGAAGGGCAUUCAGGUACAAAGAUUGUUCUUUUGGUUCGACGUGGAUGAGAUCAGGGUCGAUUUGCCGCCGUCCGAUAGUAUUUACUUCACCGUUGGGAUCAUGAAGAAAAGCUCGAUGUCGAUCAGUUCCAGAAUGUUCAUUCUUGCCGGGACGGGCUUUCGGCUUGUUCUGCUUGAAGCUUCCUCUGCCUCGGUUUCGUCGAUUUUUUCGAUAUAUAUAAACAUCAAGGUUGAGGAUGCUCAAGGCCAUGAAGCACUAAUAGAAGGGCUUACUGAUUCAAUAGCUGGAUCUUUUGUAUACAGUAUAAUGAUUCUCAGCUACAAUAUUUGCUUUUUGAAACAAAGGGAGGUGGAAUCAGAAAGGAUAGAGAAGAUGCCGGAGGAACAUGCAGCCGUGAACCUGCUUUCUAACUGUGCUCGAGGCUCGACAUGAACAUCACUGGCAGAUUCAUUGGCAGAUAUGGUAUGAUUGCAGAAAAGAAUACAUCUACCUUUGUUUUCUUUAAGAAAUUAUAUGAAAGUUGCUGCAAGAGAGGUAGCAGAUGCAGCUAUGGGGAGGAACAUGAAGAGAUUUAUGUUUUUUUAUGUUGUAUUUUAUUUGAAGUUGUAUAUGGAUUGUACAGUAUAUUGUAGAAUUAUAUAGUACAUUUUAGUGGGCCAAAUUGUAAUUUUUUUUUAUAUAUUCACCAAAUUUUGCCACUGAUGUU